rnacentral:lncRNA from 1 species
GCGACCCCUCCCUCCGCCUCUACCUCCCUUCGCCGCCGCCCCCUGAAGGGCGCCGUGAGCCGCUUCCUGUUUUCCUCCACUUCCAGGGGGGCGGCUUCUGCAUCAGCCGCUCCUCCUGGUUUAUGUACUAUCAAUUCUACGCCCGCCUCGCUGCCUCCGUCCCAGCGGCCAUGGUCUCCGUCGAGCUUCCCCUCGCCCCCGAGCACCGCCUCCCCGCCGCCAUCGACGCCGGCUUCGCCGCCCUCCUCCGCCUCCGAGAUCUGGCCCGCGACCCGGAAUCCGAGCUGCUCCGCUCGGUGGACUUCUCCCGCGUGUUCCUUAUAGGCGACAGCUCUGGGGGGAACCUGGUGCACCUGGUGGGUGCGCAGGCGUGGGAGGAGGAGGAGGCGUUCUGGUCGCCCCUCAAGGUGGCGGGCGGGAUCCUGCUCCAACCGGGGUUCGUGCGCUCGACCCGGAGCCGGUCCGAGCUGGAGCUCCGGUCCGACUCGGUGUUCUUCACGCUGGACAUGCUCGACAAGUUACUCGCUCUGGGGCUGCCAGAGGGGGCCACCAAGGACCACCCCUACACGUGCCCGAUGGGGGAGGCGGCGCCGCCACUGGAGACGGUGAGACUGCCGCCGUUCCUGGUGGGCGUGGCGGACCGCGACCUGAUAAGGGACACCAACUUGGAGUACUGCGAGGCGAUGAAGAAGGCGGGGAAGGAAGUGGCCGUAGUGAUAAGCGAGGGAGUGAGCCACUCCUUCUACCUCAACAAGUUCGCCGUCGACAACGACCC